rnacentral:rRNA from 1 species
GGCGGACGGGUGAGUAACGCGUAGGAAUCUACCCAGUAGUGGGGGAUAGCCCGGGGAAACUCGGAUUAAUACCGCAUACGCCCUACGGGGGAAAGGCCGGGAUCUUCGGACCGGUCACUAUUGGAGGAGCCUGCGUAGGAUUAGCUAGUUGGUGAGGUAAAGGCUCACCAAGGCGACGAUCCUUAGCUGGUCUGAGAGGACGAUCAGCCACACUGGAACUGAGACACGGUCCAGACUCC